AAAUAAUAAAAAAAAAAAAGUUCAUUACCAUGAAGGGGAAUUCUUCUUCUUUUUAGGUUCUUAUUAAUUAGUGUCUUUCUUUCUUUAUGAGAUUAUCUAUCCCAGGUGUAUUAGCAAAAGAGUGAUGUUAAUAUGAGGUAAGAUUUUUCUAGUACUUGAAAGUUUUCAUAAAUGAAAUGCUAAAAUCUUGAGUUGGAGAGUUGAG
rnacentral:misc_RNA from 1 species